rnacentral:rRNA from 1 species
UACGGAGGGAGCGAGCGUUGUUCGGAAUUACUGGGCGUAAAGCGCACGCUAGGCGGGCUUUGUAAGCUCAGACGGUGAAAUCCCGGAGCUCAACCUCGGGAACUGCGUUUGAGAACUGGAUAGCUAGAGUGCUGUCAGAGGGGGGUGGAAUUCCGAGCGUAGAAGUGAAAUGCGUAGAUAUGCGGAAGAACACCGAUGGCGAAGGCAGCUCACUGGAACUAGCACUUGACGCUCAUGCUGCGAAAGCGUGGGGAGCAAACAGGAUUAGAUACCCUGGUAGUCCACGCCCUAAACGAUGUCAAACUGGCUGUUGGGA